GUAGGGCGGGUCCAAGGAAAGGAUGCAAUGAAAAGUACUUUAAAAAGGAGUAAGUGUUGCAUAGAUCCCUUAGGACUUGAGGUCAAAAGACGAGAAUCGAAUUUCGGGUGGAGCGAUAAAAUGCAAAGAUAUCCGAAGGAAGACCAAAAGCGAAGGCAGUUCUCGAGGUUGAACCUGACGUUGAAAAACGAAAGCGUGGGGAGCAAACGGGAUUAGAGACCCCGGUAGUCCACGCCCUAAACGAUGUGUGACUUUCUAGGACCUAUAUAAAGAAUAUAGAGCGAACUAGAAAAAGCUAACGCGAUCACACCGCCUGGGGAGUACGGCCGCAAGGCUGAAACUCAAAGGAAUUGACGGGAGCUUACACAAACAGUGGAGCAUGUGGUUUAAUUCGACAUAACGCGCAGAACCUUACCUCCCCUUGACAUUUCUUGAAUGAAAAGCAGAAAUGUUUUUCAAUAAAAUCCUGAAACAGGUGCUGCAUGGCUGUCGUCAGCUCGUGUCGUGAGAUGUUAGAUUAAGUUCGUUAACGAGCGCAACCCUUGUAUUAUGUCAUUCACGGUGCAUAAUAGACAGUCUACUAAAGGUAGAAGGAAGGUGAGGAUGACGUCAAGUCCGCAUGGCCCUUAUGGGGAGGGCUACACAUGUGCUACAAUGAUGCGCACAAAAAGAUGCAAAAGAGUAAUCUGGAGCAAAACUAUAAAUCGCAUCCCAGUACGGAUUGAGCUCUGCA
rnacentral:rRNA from 1 species